GACGAACGCUGGCGGCGUGCCUAAUACAUGCAAGUCGAACGCACUCUCGUUUAGAUUGAAGGAGCUUGCUCCUGAUUGAUAAGCAUUUGAGUGAGUGGCGGACGGGUGAGUAACACGUGGGUAACCUGCCCUAAAGUGGGGGAUAACAUUUGGAAACAGAUGCUAAUACCGCAUAAAACCUAGCACCGCAUGGUGCAGGGUUGAAAGAUGGUUUCGGCUAUCACUUUAGGAUGGACCCGCGGUGCAUUAGUUAGUUGGUGAGGUAAAGGCUCACCAAGACCGUGAUGCAUAGCCGACCUGAGAGGGUAAUCGGCCACACUGGGACUGAGACACGGCCCAGACUCCUACGGGAGGCAGCAGUAGGGAAUCUUCCACAAUGGACGAAAGUCUGAUGGAGCAACGCCGCCGUGAGUGAAGAAGGUUUUCGGAUCGUAAAACUCUGUUGUUGGAGAAGAAUGUAUCUGAUAGUAACUGAUCAGGUAGUGGCGGUAUCCAACCAGAAA
rnacentral:rRNA from 1 species